GGACUAUCGUGAAUGCUCAGCACAUGUUCUAGUCAACACGGAAAUAAAACGUGGGGGUAUCUUUAACCACCAUUGUUCUGAUACAAUAGGGGAGCAGCCAAAACUACCAGAAGAACGAGUUAUAGAGCCGAUUGUGCCGGCUGUCAAUCGCCCUUGCUUGGGAU